AGUGGCGAACGGGUGAGUAACACGUGGGUGACCUACCUUCGAGUGGGGGAUAACGUCCCGAAAGGGACGCUAAUACCGCAUGACAUCCUGCCUUUGAACAGGUGGAGAUCAAAGCCGGGGAUCGCAAGACCUGGCGCUUGAUGAGGGGCCCGCGUCUGAUUAGCUAGUUGGUGGGGUAAUGGCUCACCAAGGCGACGAUCAGUAUCCGGCCUGAGAGGGCGGACGGACACACUGGGACUGAGACACGGCCCAGACUCCUACGGGAGGCAGCAGUGGGGAAUUGUUCGCAAUGGGCGCAAGCCUGACGACGCAACGCCGCGUGGAGGAUGAAGGUCUUCGGAUUGUAAACUCCUGUUGCUCGGGACGAAUAGCUUCGACCUAAUACGUCGAAGUAUGACGGUACCGGGUGAGGAAGCCCCGGCUAACUCUGUGCCAGCAGCCGCGGUAAUACAGAGGGGGCAAGCGUUGUUCGGAAUUACUGGGCGUAAAGGGCGCGUAGGCGGCCUGCUAAGUCGAACGUGAAAUCCCCGGGCUCAACCCGGGAACUGCGUCCGAUACUGGUGGGCUUGAAUCCGGGAGAGGGAUGUGGAAUUCCAGGUGUAGCGGUGAAAUGCGUAGAUAUCUGGAGGAACACCGGUGGCGAAGGCGGCAUCCUGGACCGGUAUUGACGCUGAGGCGCGAAAGCCAGGGGAGCAAACGGGAUUAGAUACCCCGGUAGUCCUGGCCCUAAACGAUGAAUGCUUGG
rnacentral:rRNA from 1 species